rnacentral:rRNA from 1 species
CAGCGCCUACGGGAGGCAGCAGUGAGGAAUAUUGGUCAAUGGGCGAGAGCCUGAACCAGCCAAGUCGCGUGAGGGAAGACGGUCCUAUGGAUUGUAAACCUCUUUUGCCGGGGAGCAAAAAGCGGUACGUGUACCGCAUCGAGAGUACCCGGAGAAAAAGCAUCGGCUAACUCCGUGCCAGCAGCCGCGGUAAUACGGAGGAUGCGAGCGUUAUCCGGAUUUAUUGGGUUUAAAGGGUGCGCAGGCGGCGAGUUAAGUCAGCGGUAAAAUUUCGGGGCUCAACCCCGGAACUGCUUUGGAAACUG